UACGUAGGGCGCAAGCGUUAUCCGGAAUUAUUGGGCGUAAAGAGCUCGUAGGCGGUUUGUCGCGUCUGCCGUGAAAGUCCGGGCUCAACUCCGGAUCUGCGGUGGGUACGGGCAGACUAGAGUGAUGUAGGGGGAGACUGGAAUUCCUGGUGUAGCGGUGAAAUGCGCAGAUAUCAGGAGGAACACCGAUGGCGAAGGCAGGUCUCCUGGGCACUAACUGACGCUGAGAAGCGAAAGCAUGGGGGAGCGAACAGGG
rnacentral:rRNA from 1 species